ACUGACUGAGUCAGUGUCAGCUUUUAACUCAACCUCUCUGACAGGAGCUCAAAGAAUAACAGUGGCUUAAAUCUAGACAUGAUCUUCACUCUCUUCUUAUUAUAUUUUCUGCAUCUGCCAGAAAAAGCUGCGACUGACAGCAAAGACGUCGUCCAAACACCACGUUUCAUGGUCAAGAGACCUGGUGAACGCGUCGAUAAUGAGAUCAGCUGUUCACACAGCAUCCCAAAUUAUGAUGUCAUCUUAUGGUAUAAACAAGACAAACACCGGGCGCUGAAGCUUCUGGGAUAUCUGAACCUGGGCUUCCCAUAUCCAGAAGAAGACGUGAAAGGAAAAGUCAGCUUUGAUGGAGACGGACGCAAGCAGUCAGGCCUCAAUGUAUCCAGUCUCACACUGGAGGACAGUGGUGUGUACUUCUGUGCUGCCAGUUUGCACAGUGCUGCAGAUCCUCCUCCAGUCAAUACAAAAACCUUCAGCCAUCUGUCUGACAAACACCUGCAUGUAAACAAUAGAAAGAUUUUAUCACAGGCUCUGCGGAAAUAACCAGAAUUCAAAUAAAGUGUCUCCAUCGCUGAGUGGGGGGAGGCAAUGUUCACAAGUGUAGAUUCUAUGUUUACGUACCACUUAGGUUAUUCAAGUACCACUUACUUACUAAAAGAAGAUGAAU